rnacentral:rRNA from 1 species
ACGGAAGGCAGCAGUGGGGAAUAUUGCACAAUGGGGGAAACCCUGAUGCAGCGACGCCGCGUGAGCGAUGAAGUAUUUCGGUAUGUAAAGCUCUAUCAGCAGGGAAGAUAAUGACGGUACCUGACUAAGAAGCCCCGGCUAACUACGUGCCAGCAGCCGCGGUAAUACGUAGGGGGCAAGCGUUAUCCGGAUUUACUGGGUGUAAAGGGAGCGCAGGCGGUGCUUUAAGUCUGAUGUGAAAAUCCGGGGCUCAACCCCGGAACUGCAUUGGAAACUGGAGUACUAGAGUGUCGGAGGGGCAAGUGGAAUUCCUAGUGUAGCGGUGAAAUGCGUAGAUAUUAGGAGGAACACCAGUGGCGAAGGCGGCUUGCUGGACGACAACUGACGCUGAGGCUCGAAAGCGUGGGGAGCAAACAGGAUUAGAUACCCUGGUA